UACGUAGGGGGCAAGCGUUGUCCGGAAUCAUUGGGCGUAAAGAGCGUGUAGGCGGCCAGAUAAGUCCGCUGUGAAAUCUCGAGGCUCAACUUCGAGCUGUCGGUGGAAACUGUCUGGCUAGAGUCCGGAAGAGGAGAAUGGAAUUCCUGGUGUAGCGGUGAAAUGCGUAGAUAUCGUAAGGAAGACCAAUGGCGAAGGCGGGUCUCUGGACAGUUCCUGACACUGAGGCACGAAGGCCAGGGGAGCAAACGGG
rnacentral:rRNA from 1 species